CACGUAGGGCGCGAGCGUUGUCCGGAAUUAUUGGGCGUAAAGAGCUCGUAGGCGGCCUGUUGCGUCCGCUGUGAAAGCCCGGGGCUUAACCCCGGGUCUGCAGUGGAUACGGGCAGGCUAGAGGUAGGUAGGGGAGAAUGGAAUUCCCGGUGUAGCGGUGAAAUGCGCAGAUAUCGGGAGGAACACCGGUGGCGAAGGCGGUUCUCUGGGCCUGACCUGACGCUGAGGAGCGAAAGCGUGGGGAGCAAACAGG
rnacentral:rRNA from 1 species